rnacentral:rRNA from 1 species
AUUGAACGCUGGCGGCAUGCCUUACACAUGCAAGUCGAACGGCAGCACGGGUGCUUGCUCCUGGUGGCGAGUGGCGAACGGGUGAGUAAUACAUCGGAACAUGUCCUGUAGUGGGGGAUAGCCCGGCGAAAGCCGGAUUAAUAACGCAUACGAUCCACGGAUGAAAGCGGGGGACCUUCGGGCCUCGCGCUAUAGGGUUGGCUGAUGGCUGAUUAGCUAGUUGGUGGGGUAAAGGCCUACCAAGGCGACGAUCAGUAGCUGGUCUGAGAGGACGACCAGCCACACUGGGACUGAGACACGGCCCAGACUCCUACGGGAGGCAGCAGUGGGGAAUUUUGGACAAUGGGCGAAAGCCUGAUCCAGCAAUGCCGCGUGUGUGAAGAAGGCCUUCGGGUUGUAAAGCACUUUUGUCCGGAAAGAAAUCCUUGACUCUAAUACAGUCGGGGGAUGACGGUACCGGAAGAAUAAGCACCGGCUAACUACGUG